UACGUAGGGUGCGAGCGUUGUCCGGAAUUACUGGGCGUAAAGAGCUCGUAGGUGGUUUGUCGCGUUGUUCGUGAAAACUCACAACUCAAUUGUGGGCGUGCGGGCGAUACGGGCAGACUGGAGUACUGCAGGGGGAGACUGGAAUUCCUGGUGUAGCGGUGGAAUGCGCAGAUAUCAGGAGGAACACCGGUGGCGAAGGCGGGU
rnacentral:rRNA from 1 species